rnacentral:ribozyme from 14 species
GAAUUAUUGGAAGAAAUUGAAAAGUUAAAAGCUGAAAACGCAAAGUUGAAGAUGUUGCAGAUGCAGUUGGAGGAUGUUUCUUUGCCUUCUUCUUCUUUGUCUUCUUCUUCUUCGAAUUCUUCGAAGUCGACGACGACGACGACGACAACAAUAAAAACAACGAAAAA